GAUGAACGCUAGCGAUAGGCUUAACACAUGCAAGUCGAGGGGCAGCAUGGUCUUAGCUUGCUAAGACUGAUGGCGACCGGCGCACGGGUGCGUAACGCGUAUGCAACUUGCCUCACAGAGGGGGAUAACCCGUCGAAAGACGGACUAAUACCGCGUACACUUGGGAUAGGGCAUCCUGACCCAAGGAAAUGAAAUUCGCUGUGAGAUAGGCAUGCGUCCCAUUAGCUAGUUGGUGAGGUAACGGCUCACCAAGGCGACGAUGGGUAGGGGAACUGAGAGGUUGAACCCCCACACUGGUACUGAGACACGGACCAGACUCCUACGGGAGGCAGCAGUGAGGAAGAUUGGUCAAUGGGCGAGAGCCUGAACCAGCCAAGUCGCGUGAAGGAUGACUGUCUUAUGGAUGGUAAACUUCUUUUAUACGGGAAUAACAAGAGCCACGUGUGGCUCCCUGCAUGUACCGUAUGAAUAAGCAUCGGCUAACUCCGUG
rnacentral:rRNA from 1 species